CCCCGGUUUCCAGCCUCCAGCCUGAGGCAGCGUUUCUGUCGGGAAGCCACAGACCGAGGCGUCCUGUGACAGCCGCCCUCGGGGACUCAGGAGGCUUCCCGGCAUGUUAUUCCUUUCAGACUUGGUUCCCUGUCACAGCUUCCGCUUCUCACACCAGGCGUACGUUUUCCUUCAGCGGACACCGUGGCUGUGAUCUCAGGGUCCACGUGACCGUUCCUCCGUGGCUGCCCUUCUGGGUCUAUGGCUGCUGAUUCACUUGCCCACAGGCACCUCUCCCUGCCUCUGGGCAGGGCGGCAACUUCCUCUUGGGUGCGGACCGCGGUGCUGUGACGGCUUUGAUCUCCUGGCAUUUCUGCUGGGUUGCUUUGGGCCUUCCUUGAAAGGACGCUGCCGUGGAGUUCAGCUCCCUGCUGUUCGCUUUGGUCUUCCCGUGGCUGGUUCUGAAGCCUCUUAGAGCAGGUCCGGCCCCACUCCCGGGACGUGCCCUGCUGGGCGGCUGCCGACGGCCCAGGGUCCUCAGGACUCUCCCUCUGACGGUUGGAACUCCGGUCUCCCACCUGUGAGUUCUGGGGGUCCACAGCCCCCUAGGGCUCCCGCCACGCUCACGGGUCUACCCUCCACACACAUGGCGCCCGACUCUGGAGGCCUCGGAGACCCUCAGCAGCCUUCUGGAGCUUUCUGUCUGUGCCGUUCCCUCCCUUCUGGGGCCCUGCCUGCCAGGUCCUGCUGCAGACGCCUUUCUGAGCCUUGAGCUCCUUCUCCUCAGCCCUGCAGGACCACCCGCCCUACCUGGACAUCCGCCCCUGCUCCACUGUUCUGAAUGGGCCUCCAGCCCAGGGCCAGGGUGACCCUGGCCUUUAGCCCCGCCCCCCUCCUGCUGGGGGUCCGGUUCCAUGGGGCCCGGUGCUGAAAACAGUCCAUCCCAGGUUUCAGUCUCCCCCUUUGACAUGAGGGAAGCUACCGGCUGUGUUGGGACCAGCUCCCUUCCAAGGAACACUCUGGCUGGUUCCAGAAUUCUCCUUUGCUACGAAGGCCGCCGGGCACAUCCCGCACUGGCCACCCUUCACCUCGGAUGUGCAUUUAUCGAUGAGAUGCCCUAAUGGGACCUCCUGGAUCAAAUAGUGUGAUGAUGCCGACACUUGGCUCCCCACAGCUUCAUGGUGAAGUGAUCUGAGACCUCCUCUGGUCUGUCCCUUUCCCAGGGUCAGGGGACCCAUUUAUGGAACCAGGACAGGAGGUGCCUUCCCCUGAGCCCUGUCUCAGAACUGGACCUGGGAGGCAGCGCCCAGUGGUGGCUCAGCCCCCAGAGCCACUUCUGAGGUCCAACACUCCUUUGCUCCCCUCAGGGAAGCCCCCUUGCCUGGACCCCAACUCUCGGUGCCUCAGUUUCCUCACAUGGAAGGUGAGAUGUUGAAGGUGCCUGGGCUGUGUCUGUGCACUGACCUAGGGUGACCAUGAGCUUGGAGAACUCGAAUGUCUGGAAGGAUGGGUGCCAGCUGGCCAGGGGUGCAGCAGCUGGCUGGAGACGGGGGCUGGCUCUGGGACCAGCAGCUCCCCUGGGGUGUGGCCUCUCUCAGUGAGCCUCAUCAUCAUCGUCAUCAUCGUUUUCUCACACCUGGCCUAAUCAUAUGCAUGAAAAGAAGAAAGCAAAGGGGUGAGCACAUGGCGGCCCCACAGGGCUCGUGUCCUCAGCCGUCGCCUCUCGGAGCUCUGUCCCCACAAACCUGGGAGGUGGCUCCAGAGCUUUUCCAGGAUCUGAGGCUCCUCCCAGAGCGGCUGCUGCAGACUGAGGCAGGGAGGCUUCCUGCUGUGCGUGGAGCCCAGAUGUCAGGUGGCCACUCUGUGAGAAGGGAAGAUGGGGCCCCUGACCAGGGAGCCCUCUGCCACCCCUGCCCACCGCCUAUCCCCAGAGGCUGUGGGGUGAAGGGCAGGCUGAGCUGGGUUGGGGCCUGGCCUCCCAUUAGGCACUGGGGGACAGCUGGGUACAUGGGGUCAGCCUCUGAAGAGCUCCCUGGAAAUCUGGACAAUGGUCAGGGAGCUGGUCCGUGCACAGGAAGGCCCGGGGUCCCUGGGGAGCACUCCUCAGGUCGGGGAGAGGACAAUGUGGGGCAGGGCAUCUGGAAGAGCCACUCUGUAGGGGCCCCAGGGCUCCAGCUGGCCGGGGGGGGGGUCUCUCCACACCCCAGGACGCUGGGCCAGGGCUUCCCUGGAAAUAGGGGCCAGGACAAAGGGUGACAAGGGAGGAGUCGGGGUGGGCGGCUCAGAUGGGGGUCUCUAUUGGAGGCAGUAGGUGAGCAGGAAACGAGGGGGGAUGUAGGGUCCAGCCCUACAGGGUUCUGUGAGCCCCUCUCUCCUGGAGAAACUGUAGAAAUAAGAGAUACAAGACACAGAGAUAGAGAAAAGAAAGUUUGGGACUAAGGGUCCACUGCCAACCAAAGCCUGGAGGCCUGCAGGGACCCCUAGUGUCCGCACAAUAUGACUUUUAUUGAGUACAAAGCUGGGGGCAGGGAAAAGUACAUCAUCGGUCAAACAGGUAGGGGCGCAGGAAUUUUCCACAGCUGAGAUGAGGUAAGGGGCAUAAGGUAUCAGCACUUUUCCAUACUUGUCACAAAGACAUUAAGAUUUACCUUACUUUUACUGAUUAAUUCUUACAAGAAAAAAGGAACUGGGUGCAGAAGUGGAUUAUGAGAUUGACAUGGAAUGUGACCGCUGAAGCACAGCAUCACACAGAAACAUUUAAACCCCCGAUGUCUGACAGCCAUCAGGCCUACAGAAAGAGCUUGGAGAAGCGGAGUUUUCUCCUAACUCCCCCAAGGAAGGAGAAGUCUCGGCCAUCUUGGACGUCUCCUUCCCUAGCUGGCUAAACAGCGUGCGCUUUCACAGUGCUGCCGCUGCGGCACAGCCGAGGCACCCUCCGGCAGCCCUUGCGUGGGCGUGACAGAGGGCUUAGAGCAUCUCGCCUUAGAGUCAUUCAUUUCACAGUGUCACCCAGGUUCACAUUUCCGACCUGAGAGACAUUAGUAAAGGAAUUAAGAUCUGGGUCUGUUGGUGGGGAAUAGGGGAGGGACAGCGGGGGGUAGGGAGGUUGGGGAGGGAUAACAUGGGGAGAAAUGCCAGAUACAGGUGACGGGAAUGGAGGCAGCAAACCACAUUGCCAUGUGUGUACCUAUGCAACAAUCCUGCAUGAUCUGCACAUGUACCCCAGACUAUACAUAUAUAGGCAAUAAUAUAUAUAUGCAAUUUUAUAUAUAUAUAUAUAUCUUUUACAUUAAAAGAGGCUUAAGGAACAUAGCAACUGGAAAAAAAAAGAAUUAAGAUCACCUAUGAAUAACUGAGAUCACCUGUGAAUAACUAAGAUCACCUGUGAAUAACUGAGAUCACCUGUGAAUAACUGAGAUCACCUGUGAAUAAGAUCACCUGUGAAUAACUGAGAUCACCUGUGAAUAACUGAGAUCACCUGUGAAUAACUAAGAUCACCUGUGAAUAACUGAGAUCACCUGUGAAUAACUAAGAUCACCUGUGAAUAACUGAGAUCGCCUGUGAAUAACUGAGAUCACCUGUGAAUAACUAAGAUCACCUGUGAAUAACUGAGAUCACCUGUGAAUAACAGAUUUCCCUCCCCCGUGAAUAACUAAGAUCACCUGUGAAUAAGGUCACCUGUGAAUAACUAAGGUCCCCUGUGAAUAACUAAGAUUACCUGUGAAUAACUGAGCUCACCUGUGAAUAACUAAGGUCCCCUGUGAAUAACUAAUAACUACUACGGUUAUAUUUCUA